AUUCUGAUAGCUUACAUUUUUAGAGCAUAGCACUGAAGAUGCUAAGGAGGCAAUCAUGCCUCAGAAUA
rnacentral:tRNA from 1 species